rnacentral:rRNA from 1 species
GAUGAACGCUGGCGGCGUGCCUAAUACAUGCAAGUCGAGCGAACAGACGAGGAGCUUGCUCCUCUGACGUUAGCGGCGGACGGGUGAGUAACACGUGGAUAACCUACCUAUAAGACUGGGAUAACUUCGGGAAACCGGAGCUAAUACCGGAUAAUAUAUUGAACCGCAUGGUUCAAUAGUGAAAGACGGUUUUGCUGUCACUUAUAGAUGGAUCCGCGCCGCAUUAGCUAGUUGGUAAGGUAACGGCUUACCAAGGCAACGAUGCGUAGCCGACCUGAGAGGGUGAUCGGCCACACUGGAACUGAGACACGGUCCAGACUCCUACGGGAGGCAGCAGUAGGGAAUCUUCCGCAAUGGGCGAAAGCCUUACGGAGCAACGCCGCGUGAGUGAUGAAGGUCUUCGGAUCGUAAAACUCUGUUAUUAGGGAAGAACAAAUGUGUAAGUAACUAUACACGUCUUGACGGUACCUAAUCAGAAAGCCACGGCUAACUACGUG